rnacentral:lncRNA from 1 species
ACAAUCAGUUCAUACUUUGGAGAGAAGGUGCUGAGUCUCCAUUUCUGGCCACCAGGCAAGAUUUCCAGUAUGAUCUAUUAGAAGGAGUCCAAGAUGUAGUGACUUUCCAGUUACUUAUUGAAGUCACUGACGAAUUGGGCAGGAAUACAGCUAGACAGCUGACAGCCACUACUACAGUCAUAAUUCAUGUGCUUCCCUGGACUACAACACAGCCAACUUCUUCCACAAAAACAGCUACAACUACUGUUACUACUUCUGUCUUAAGGAAGAUCUCAUACUACUGGAGGCCUGACAGCUGGUUUUCAGCAGUGCUCACGCUAGCGGGAGUUCUCUUCAUGAUGGGUCUUUAUGCAGUUGUGUGGUGCCUCUUCAAAGAGGUUCAAUUCUGCUCAAGACUAUUUCCUCACUGUCACAGACAGAAGAGUCAACCAAGUCUGACUGUACAGGAUGAAAAGGAUGCUGAGCAGGUACCAAGGGACAGAAAUGCAGUAUCGACUGAACAACCAGACAAGGGGAUGAAAAGAAAUUUUUUUCAACGGGAGACAUUUUGACUUUAACCAGAAGAAAGGUUACUAUAUCUCCAUGUUGCUUUAUUUGAAAAGGUCUUUGAAAACACA